GGCGCGGCGGCAGAGUGGCUAUGCAGCGGAUUGCAAAUCCGCGAAGGUUGGUUCGAUUCCAGCCCGCGCCUCCA
rnacentral:tRNA from 1 species